CAAUGAAGAAAGCAUGGUAAUGUGUACAUAAAUUGAAUUGGGUCUCUAGGUCUAGCCUCUCUGAUGUCAUUUGGCUUUGAUAAAAGGGGCAUGAUUCCACAGCAAAAUA